UACGUAGGGUGCGAGCGUUAAUCGGAAUUACUGGGCGUAAAGCGUGCGCAGGCGGUUCGUUAUGUCCGUUGUGAAAGCCCCGGGCUCAACCUGGGAAUGGCAAUGGAAACUGGCGGGCUAGAGUGUGGCAGAGGGGGGUGGAAUUCCGCGUGUAGCAGUGAAAUGCGUAGAGAUGCGGAGGAACACCGAUGGCGAAGGCAGCCCCCUGGGCUAGCACUGACACUCAGGCACGAAAGCGUGGGGAGCAAACAGG
rnacentral:rRNA from 1 species